GCAGUCUAUCACAGGUGUUACGAUGCAUCCACAUUAGCCUCUUAUGUGUGCAACAGCAUCCUGAGGAGAGGCCAAGCAUGUCAUCCGUGGUUCUGAUGUUGGGAAGUGAAAAUGAAUUGCCUCUGCCCAAACAACCUGGUUUUUUGUUUCACAAUAGUCCCUUUGAAGCAGAGUCUUCAUCAGGCAACCAUGGAUCAUCUUCGAGAAACGAAAUAAGUUUAUCACUUUUAGACGCUCGAUAGAGGGUGAUAUGCUCCAAACCAUCAGUAAUGACUCCAAUCCCACUUGAUGUUUGGGGCAUGUGCUUUUAGAGCCAAUGCUAGUGAGAAAUGUUUCAGAAAUCAAACAUGCAAUCAAGUAUAAAUAGUGGUGUUUUGUUUAUUUCAUGGAUAGAUAAGAUUGAAGGGCCAAACUGAAGCUUCAUACAGUUAACAUGUACAAAUUCCAUGCAAUCUCUUCAUUUACAAGUUUUUGACUUAUCUUGUUUUCUACUGCAUUUAUGUAAUAUCAAGAGCCACCUAACCUUGUCAACUUGAAAAAUGAUAAUAUUAAUGCAUGAUGAGCCCAUCUUUCCCCUCAAUAUAAGUGUUAAUUAGUGUGAUAAAUGAAUCAACAAACUAACAUCAUUGUCUCUGUAUCAUUUUGUGCAUAAUCAAACAUUUGUUAUCAACAAGAAGAAAAGAUCAUUCAUACUACAGGGAUUGCUCAGUUCCUUUUGCUUAAAUCCAGAAGCGGCUAAGUACCAUGAGACUGUAACCUCUUUUUGGGGCACAAACGAAUGGACUUCACAUACAAGAUUAGUCAAGCUAACUAGCAAUUAGAUCUUUAACAGAGGCUAGGGAUUCCAAGGCUGUAGAGUUUUCAUCUUCAUCUUUGUUUCAUCGUAGUCCAACUCUUUGGUUAUGGGGGCUUCAAAGGAGUUGGAAGACGUAUCGAUGAGGUUGUCAGGGCGUCGCAAAACAAAAAGAAAAGGGAAGAGCACGCUGAUUGUACGUGACUGACAGCUGAUACGAGGUUGGCUUUGUCCUGUUGCAGACAAAGAUUUGGUGGGCCCAACACGUUGGCAACAAUAUCAAACGUAAGAGUGAUAAUAGAUUUGGCAAAGUCAUGAACACAUCACUCAGGGGAGGGGGAUUUGGCAAAAUUAUGGAGUGGUACUAGCAAUUAGAGGAAUGGGCCGACAUGCUUAAUGGGCUUGUAGUGCACUAGCAAUUUUUUAAUGGGCUUAUUGUGGAUCAAGGCAUGUUCUAAAGGGCUUCUUUUGAACAACAAAUAUUGGUUUUUUCUUUGUUAAAGUCAUUGUAGGAGUAGUCAUCAGCGUAAUUAAAAAACCGACAGUUCCGCUUGCCCGACGCUACUUUCCGCUUGGUUUUGUCAUAACAAUAAUGUUGACUUAAUAAUAAAUAAUUAUGUCAUUCACCAUGUAUUUUUGUUAGUUUUUGAAAGUUCUCUUUAGAUUUGCUGGCAUGACUUCAAAAUUAUAUAUAAUUAAAUAAUAUAUAUAUAUAUAUAUAUGUAUAGUAUUGUUUUGAAGAAGAAAAAGAAAGGAAAAUGGAGUUCUAUGUGCAAAAGAAUUGAUUUUAUUUGUUGAAUCAAAUAAAAAAUAAUUAAAUGUAUAAUUGAAAAAUCAUAUACAGAUUUUUUAAAAAACAGCAUAUCUAUUAAUUAGAAAUAAUAAUAAAUUAUAUAAAUAUGUGAUUAAUGUUAAUUGAUUAACUAUUUUAAAUUAAUUACAUUAAUGAAUUAACUAAUUAAUUAGUUAAUUAAGAUAAUUAACUAACUAUUUUAUUUCCAAAAUAAUUUAAAUUAAUUAAUUUAAUUCUUUAAAACUUAACUAAUUUACCAAAAAUAAAUAUUUAGUAAUUUCACAUAUUUUAAUAUAUAAAUAUUUAGUAUUUAAAUAUUAGGUUAGUUUUGUCAUGCUAUUAUUUAUUAUUUUAAGGGAUAAGGUUGAAAAAUUAAAAAUUUACCUGAAAAUAAUAAAUAAAAAGGUAAGUUUGAAAAUAUAAGGGUAAUUUUUUAAAUUUACAUUACAUUCUCAUACUUCCAAACCAAAGAAUACCAUCUAAUCUUCCCAGCAAUCAUAUUACAUGCAAUCAUCAUUUGUCUAUGAUAUAUAAAACGUUGCAAAGUUUUUUUUCAUUCAUCAUAUUCCCUACAAUUAUCAUUUUUUUAUAUUAUACAAAAUGCUGCAAAAUUCUUCUCAUCUAUCAUAUUCCCUACAGUCAUCACUUUUUCAUAUUAUAUCAAUGCUGCAAAAUUCUUCUCAUCAAUAACAUUCUCAAUAAUCAUAUUAUUAACAAUCACAUUUUCAAUAAAAUAUUAAAAAACCCGGUUUAUACUACUAAGAACAAACUAAUUAACAUGAAAAUAAGGGAAAUUGACACGAAGUCAAUUCUAUCGGUCCCUUAGGACUUGUGAUUGCAAUUUCUUGUAAAUUCAGCCUAAAAGUAUAGGAAGACUUGACUUUUUGGUAAUCAUGUCGACUUCAUAAUAGUUAUUGAGAAGAAAAAAUCUCCAUGACGUACGUUUUUUUUAAGUCUAGAUAUGCAUGUUUACUUAAUUACUUGCAUGUUGAGUGGUCUUGGUUUAAGUCAUAGUCUUACGGUCUAGUAGUGUACAAUGAAAUUAAUUUUAGAGGUUACUUUAUGAUAUAAUUGAGUGUAAAGUUCCCUGAUUUUUUUGUGUAACAAAGAACUUUAGCAUCUUGGGUUUAGCUCUACAUUAAGCUAGGGCAGACAAGAAUAUACCGUUUCAUAGUUUUUUAAACUUAACUGCAACUUAUUUCAGUUCCUAUUUAUCAAUAAUCUUAACUUGACAGCCAUCAUAGUUAAAUAUCUAGUUAAAGAUACUUCUAUCUCCAAGAAGAAGUUGAGACCUAUAGAAUAGUUGUAGUCUCUGUCACGAUUGAUGAAGAAUUCCAAGGUCAAUGGACCCAAAGUCUUGCCUUGAAGCCUGAAGGUCAAUGCUGUUUAGAAUGUUCAAUCAAAUGGCAUCUAUUCUUAUCUUCCCAGCAAAAGGCUUUCAGACCAUACAUCCAUGGGCAUGGAUAUCCUUUCUUUCAGUGCUUGUUUCCUCAUCAUCUUCUCGAAAGCUUCCAUCGCACUCGACAAGAUUUCUCCGUCUGAGUCACUCACUGAUGGCACGACCUUGGUCUCUAGUGAUGGAAGCUUUGCAUUGGGUUUCUUCACUCCGGGGAGUUCCAAGAAUCGUUACUUGGGAAUUUGGUACAAUAACAUCCCCAUGCAAACUGUUGUAUGGGUUGCAAACAGGAUAAAUCCAAUAAAUGACACCACUGGCUUGCUGAAGAUAGAAAGCUCUGGCAGAGUCGUGCUUCUAGGUCAGAACCAAACAACUGUUUGGUCAAUUAAUUCCACAGAAGCAGCUCAGAAUCCGAUUCUGCAGCUCCUGGAUUCAGGCAAUCUUGUUGUCAGAGAUGGAAAAGAUGGUGAUUCAGAGAACUACUUGUGGCAAAGCUUUGAUUAUCCAACUGAUACAAUGUUAGCAGGGAUGAAGAUUGGUUGGGACCUGAGAACUGGUUUAAAUCGAAGACUAUCAGCAUGGAAGAACUCAGAUGAUCCAUCUCCUGGGGACCUUACUUAUGGGGUAGAACUCCAAGGCAAUCCACAGAUGGUGCUGCGGAAAGGCUCAGAAAAGUACUAUCGCAGUGGCCUAUGGAAUGGCAAUGGGUUUAGUGGUGUACCAAAUUUAAGAUCAAAUCCGGUCUUUGAUUACGACUUUGUCUGGAAUAAGGAGGAGGUGUACUACAUAUUUUACCUGAAAAAUAAAUCGGUGAUGUCAAGGUUUGUUUUGAACCAAACUGAAAAGGUAAGACAGCGGUACACAUGGAACCCAGAAACUCAGACUUGGAAGUUGUUUUCAAUCAUGCCAAGUGACUAUUGUGACACACCUGGACUUUGUGGUGCAAAUGGGAACUGCGACAAUUCCAAGCUUCCAGCUUGCCAAUGUUUGAAAGCAUUCAGGCCUAAAUCGCUGGAAAGAUGGAACUCCUCAGACUGGUCUGAAGGGUGUAUACACAAUAAGCCAUUAAACUGUCAAAGGGGAGAUGGAUUUAUUAGAAUUGAGAGGGUGAAAACGCCAGAUACCUCACAUUCUUGGGUGAACAAAAGCAUGAAUCUUAAGGAAUGUAGGGCUAGGUGCUUGCAGAACUGUUCAUGUAUGGCAUACACUAAUUUAGAUAUUAGAGGAGGAGGUAGCGGCUGCGCCAUGUGGUUUGAUGAUCUAAUUGAUAUUAAACAAUUCCAAUCAUUUGGCCAAGAUCUUUACAUCAGAGUGUCUGCUUCAGAAGCAGGUAUCAGUUUAAAAUCGGAACAUAUUCUUGUUAAAGCUUGUGAUAAUUUCUUUUGGAAAUUGUUUAAUUAUAUUUGUGCUCCUUCAACAAUAUUGAUCAUGCAGAACUGAAAAACAAGUCUGAGGCGAAGCUGGCCAUGAUAAUUGCAACGCCAAUUGCUGUGUUCUUGGGGCUUCUUGUAGUCAUAUAUUACAUCCGGAGAAGGAGGAGAAAAUUAGAAGGUAAUAUCAACCAUGGUCCUCAUAAAGCAGGGGAAAGUUGGUAUUUGCUAUCAAAAUCAAUUUCGCCAACAGCAGCGCUAUCAAAUCCCUGCCCUGUUUUCAAGAAAACAGUAAUACUGAAAUUUGCCAUUUCAUUAUAUUCCUUAUCAAAUUUGAUAAUAGAUGGUUUUUAAUUUUGUUUUAUGAUCUGACAAAAAAGAGAGUCCAUGAACAAUUGGUUGGAUACUUUUGGUUUUGGUGUUCAGAAGAAGCAUACAGCUUUUGUUCUUCUCUCUAAAUCUAUCAAUAUGCAUAAGAAAGCCCAUUUCUAUGUUGAAUGCUAGCCUAUUUUGACUACUGUUUCAGAUGAAGUUGAAGAAAGGAUUGAAAAUGACCAAAAGAACCAAGGCCGGAGUGAAGAUAUGGACCUUGCUGUAUUCGAGCUUGGUACGAUAGCCAGAGCUACAGAUAGUUUUUCUUUUCAUAACAAGCUAGGUGAAGGAGGUUUUGGACCUGUUUAUAAGGUAAAGUUGACAGCAUAUUACUACAAUGAUCUCAAUUACAGAGAAUUCAUCUUCCUUGAAAGCUCAUCAAAAUGUUCUUAUUCUCCAGGGGACACUUGCAAAUGGACAAGAAAUUGCUGUGAAAAGACUUUCAAAGAGUUCCGGACAAGGAUUGAACGAGUUUAAAACUGAAGUAAAGUUGAUUGCCAAACUUCAGCAUCGGAAUCUUGUAAGGCUUCUUGGGUGCUGCAUUCAUGGAGAGGAGAAAAUGCUGGUUUAUGAAUACAUGCCUAACAGAAGUCUUGACUCAUUUAUUUUUGGUCAGAAACCUUUCAAUUUUAUAUUGUCUGCUCUCGGCUUAUGAAAUAGUUUUCUUUUGCUGCUUCAAAGGAUCAAAUAGAUAUAGAAUUAACAUGAAUGCAGUAUUUGACAGAUCAAAGAAGAUGCAAAGUAUUAGAUUGGCCCAAGCGUUUCCAAAUUAUCUGUGGGAUUGCUAGGGGACUCCUUUACCUUCAUCAAGAUUCCAGAUUGAGGAUUAUUCAUAGAGAUCUGAAAGCUAGUAAUGUUCUACUUGAUAGUGAGAUGAACCCAAAAAUUUCAGAUUUUGGCAUGGCAAGAACUUUUGGAGGAGACCAGACUGAAGCCAAUACAAACAGAGUGGUUGGAACUUAGUAAGUCUACUUUUUCUGCAAAUUUGAUCUAUAGAUCCCCAUGAAAAUGCAUACUUUUAUCUGACAAUGUCCUGCAGUGGUUAUAUGGCACCAGAAUAUGCUAUCGAUGGCCUGUUUUCGGUAAAAUCAGAUGUGUUUAGCUUUGGCAUAUUGUUGUUGGAGAUAAUAAGUGGAAGAAAGAAUAGAGGAUUCUAUCAUAAAAAUCAAAGCGGCAACCUUAUUGAACAUGUAAGCCUCAUUGUCAUUAUUUUUUAUUACAUAUCUUGAAUUGAUGAAUGAUAAAAGAAUUUCUUUUUGCUGCAGGCAUGGAGAUUAUGGAAAGAAGGCAAGCCUUUGAAUCUUGCUGAUGAUUUCUUAGCAGAGACUGGCAGUCUAUCACAGGUGUUACGAUGCAUCCACAUUAGCCUUUUAUGUGUACAGCAGCAUCCUGAGGGGAGGCCAAGCAUGUCAUCCGUGGUUCUGAUGUUGGGAAGUGAGAAUGAAUUGCCUCUGCCCAAACAACCUGGUUUUUUGUUUCACAAGAGUCCAUUUGAAGCAGAUUCUUCAUCCGGUAACCAUGGAUCAUCUUCGAAAAACGAAAUAAGUUUAUCAGUUUUAGAGGCUCGAUAGAGGGUGAUAUGCUUCAUUAAACCUAUUAUGCUCCAAACUAUCAGUAAUGAUUCCAAUCCCACUUGAUGUUCGGGGCAUGUGCUUUUGGACCAAAUGCUAGUGAGAAAUGUUUUAAAAAUCAACAUGCAAUCAAGUACAAAUAUUAGUGUUGCAUUUAUUCCGUGGAUAGGUAGAUUGAAGGACCAAACUAAAGCUUCAUACAGUUCAGAUAUAACUGAAGCUUCAUACGGUUAAGAUGUACAAAUUUCAUGCAAUCUCAUCACUUACAAGUUGCUGACUUCUCUUGUUUUCUACUGCAUUUGUGUAAGAUCAAGAGCCACCUAAUCUAGCCGGCUUGGGAACCUCAAUAUGAGUGUUAAUUAAUUAGUGUGAUAAAUGAAUCAACAAACUAGCUUCAUUGUCUCUACAUUAUUCUGUGCAUAAUCAAACCUGUGUCAUCAACAACAAGAAAAUAUCAUUCAUGACUAGGAUUCCUCAGUUCCUUUGCUUGACUCCAGAAGUGAACUUAGUACCAUGAGACUGUAACCUCUUUUUGGGGCGCAAACGAAUGAACUUCACAUACAAGAUUAGUCAAGCUAAGUAUCAAUUAGAACUUUAAUAGAGGCUACAGAUUCCAGGUUGAAAGAAGCUGGUGAGGUCUUCAACAAAGAUAUGUUGCAGUUUUAAGGCUGUACAGUUUUCAUCUUCAUCUUUGUUUGGUCGUGGUCCAACCCCUUUGCUUAUGGGGGCUUCGACAGGCGUUGGACGACACGUUGAUGAGGCUGUCAGGGCGCCUUAAAACAAAAAGAAAAGGGAGAGCGUCCUCAUUGUACGUGACUGACACCUGAUACGAGGUUGGCUUUGUCCGGUUUCAGACAGAUUUGGUGGGCCCAACACGUUGGCAACAUUAUCAAACGCGAGAGUGAUAAUAGAUUGGCAAAAUGAAGAACACAUCUCUCACGGAUCCACUUCAGUGAGAUAUGGUGAGGGUCUUACGAUUAUAAAUAUAAAAUUUUUACUAUUUAUUAGAUAUAUUUUUUGAUUUGAUAACAUGAUAUUGUAAUUUAUAAAUUUAGAGAUGUCAACUGGUAGGAUAUUCGUUAAUUUUGAGAUACUAAAAUCUGAAUUCGAUUAAAAAAUAAAAUACCCAAACUCGAUAAUUACCUGAAUUUUUUUUAAAUUUACUAUCCUAACUCAAAUCCUAAUACAUAAUCACUACCCGAUAAUUACUCGAACCCGUUUAAAAAUCUGAUUAUGUAAAAAAUUAUUAAAAUACUCUUUAUAGAUACCCAAUUACCCAAACUCAAAUCUGUACCUGUAUCUAUAUACAAUAAUAUUUUUAUUCAUAUUUUAUAUAAUUCACCAAUAAUUAAAUUUAUAAAAGCACAUAAAUAAUAAAAUUUAAAUUUAAAUAAUCAAAAACAAAUAUCUCAAAUAUCAACUUAAAUAAUUAAAAACAAAUAUUAAACUACAACUUAAACAUUACAAGUUUAAUUAACUAUGUGGGUUUAUCCAUGAAAUUAAAAAAAAUAAUUAUAUUCCAAAAUUAUUCUAAUCUUAUAAUUUCUUUUUAGGUAUAUAUUUUAUAAGUUUAUAUACACAAAAGUAUAUAUUAUAAAUAAUAAUUUUAUAAGUUAUAUUUUCUAUAAUGUUAAUACAAUAUAGCAAGUAAACAUGUUUAUAUUUAAAGUAUAUAUACAAUAGUAAUUGUAUUCUUCAUAAAUUAACACAAUAUAUAAAAUAUAUGUAUUAAAAGAUAUUACAAGUUAAUUAAUAAUCAUAGUUUUAUGAAUUAAUUUAAUUAAUAAUAUGAAUUUGUCUUGAAUUACAUAAAAUUAAAAAAAUAUAUAAUCAGAUUCGGGUAUCGGGUAUCCAAAGGGUGAUAUUUGAACCCUACCUGAACCCGAUACAUGUAUUUUAGGGUACUUUAACUUUAUACAAUCAGAUCAGGUACUCGUAAGUACCCUGUAACAGGAUACCUAUAGACAUCCCUAUAUAAACUUACUUAAAUUUAUUAUUCUUAAUUUUUUAAAUACAUUUUUAUUACCCAUAAACUGUUUAUUAAGUUUACGACUCAUAAGUAUUUACAAACUUACAAUAAUAUAAUAAUUACGGUAAAAUAAUUUUUUUUAUCAUUAAAUUAAAAGUUUUAAUGAUGCAACUUGUCUAUUUCUUUUUGAACAUUAUGAAACUCAUAAAAAUAUUAUUAUUAUCAUCAUAGUCUUAGUUGAAAAUGAUGGUCAACAUCUAAAAAAAAGUGAUUAUCUUCUAGAAAAAGAAUUGCCUCUGCCCAAACAACCUGGUUUUUGGUUUCACAAGAGUCCCUUUGAAGCAAAUUCUACAUCAGGCAACUGCAGAUCAUCUUCUAGAAACGAAAAAAGUCUAUCAAUGUUAGAGGCUCGAUAGAGAGUGGUAUGCUUCAUUAAACCUAUUAUGCUCCAAACCAUCAGUAAUGACUCCAAUCCCACUUGAUGUUUGGGGCAUGUGCUUUUAGAGCCAAUGCUAGUGAGAAAUGUUUCAGAAAUCAAACAUGCAAUCAAGUAUAAAUAGUAGUGUUUUGUUUAUUUCAUUUUGCUGCAGGCAUGGAGAUUAUGGAAAGAAGGCAAGCCUUUGAAUCUUGCUGAUGAUUUCUUAGCAGACACUGGCAGUCUAUCACAGGUGUCACGAUGCAUCCACAUUAGCCUCUUAUGUGUACAACAGCAUCCUGAGGAGAGGCCAAGCAUGUCAUCCGUGGUUCUGAUGUUGGGAAGUGAAAAUGAAUUGCCUCUGCCCAAACAACCUGGUUUUUUGUUUCACAAUAGUCCCUUUGAAGUAGAUUCUUCAUCAGGCAACUAUAAAUCAUCUUCGAAAAACGAAAUAAGUCUAUCAAUGUUAGAGGCUCGAUAGAGGGUGGUAUGCUUCAUUAAACCUAUUAUGCUCCAAUCCCACUUGAUGUUUGGGGCAUGUGCUUUUAGAGCCAAUGCUAGUGAGAAAUGUUACAGAAAUUAAACAUGCAAUGAAGUAUAAAUAGUGGUGUUUUGUUUAUUUCAUGGAUAGAUAAGAUUGAAGGGCCAAACUGAAGCUUCAUACAGUUAACAUAUACAAAUUCCAUGCAAUCUCAUCAUUUACAAGUUUUUGACUUAUCUUGUUUUCGGCUGCAUUUAUGUAAUAUCAAACGUAAGAGUGAUAAUAGAUUGGCAAAAUCAUGAACACAUCACUCAAGGUCAGGGGAGGGGGAUUUGGCAAAAUUAUGAAGUGGUACUAGCAAUUUUAGGAAUGGGCCGGCAUGCUUAAUGAGCUUGUAGUGGACUAUCAAUUUUCUAAUGGGCUUAUUGUGGAUCAAGGCAUGUUCUAAUGGGCUUCUAUUGGACAACAAAUAUUGAUUUUUUUUUAUUAUGGAGGGUUUAUUGAUGGUUUUUUUUGGAAUGGAUUUAUUUAUACAUAAUUACAUAUAUAUUGUAUUUAAGAAAACAAAUAAAAUUUUGAAUUUCCAUAUUACUUUUAUUCUUAAUCUUUUAAAUGUAUUUUUACUAUUCACAAACUAAUUAUUAUAUUUAUGACUCAUAAAUGUAUACAAACUAACAACGACAUAACAAUCACUGUAAAAUAUUUUUUAUUCAUGAUUAAAUCAAAAACUUUAAUGAUACAACUUGUCUAUUUCUUUUUCAACAUAAUGAAAGUCAUAAAAAUAUUAUCAUCAUAGUCAUAGUUGAAAAUGAUGGUCAACAUUUAAAAAAAAAAGUGAUUAUCUUUUUUUUAAUUAAAGUAAUAGUAGAAGUAGUCAUUGGCACGUGAGUAAAAUAGCAUAAUUAACUAGCAGAUGCUUCCGGCUUGAUGCUACUUUCAGCUUGAUUUUGUCAUAACAAUAAUGUUGCCUUAAUAAUUAGUAAUUAUGUCAUUCACCAUGUAUUUUUGUUGGUUUUUGAAAGUUCUCUUUAGAUUUGCUGGCAUGACUUCAAAAUUAUAUAUAAUUAAAUAAUAUAUAUAAAUAUAUAUGUAUAAUAUUGUUUUAAAGAAGAAAAAGAAAGGAAAAUGGAGUUCUAUGUGCCAAAAAAUUGAUUUUAUUUGUUGAAUCAAAUAAAAAAUAAUUAAAUGUAUAAUUGAUAAAUCGUGUAUAAAAUUUUAAAAAAGAGAGUAUAUCUAUUAAUUAGAAAUAAUAAUUGAUUAUAUAAAUAUGUGAUUAAUUUUAAUUGAUUAACUAUUUUAAAUUAAUUACAUUAAUGAAUUAACUAAUUAAUUAGUUAAUUAAAUUAAUUAACUAACUAAUUUAUUUAUAAAAUAAUUUAAAUUAAUUAAUUUAAUUCUUUAAAACUUAACUAAUUUACUAAAAAUAAAUAUUUAGUAAUUUCACAUAUUUUAAUAUAUAAAUAUUUAGUAUUUAAAUAUUAGGUUAGUUUUGUCAUGCUAUUAUUUAUUAUUUUAAGGGAUAAAGUUGAAAAAUUAAAAAUUUACAUUAAAAAAAGGUAAGUUUGAAAAUAUAAAGGGAAUUUUUUAAAUUUACAUUACAUUCUCAUACUUCCAAACCAAAGACUACCAUCUAAUCUUCCCAACAAUUAUAUUACAUGCAAUCAUCAUUUUUCUAUGAUAUAUAAAACAUUCUAAAGUUUUUUUCAUCCAUCAUAUUCCCUGCAAUUAUCAUAUUUUUAUAUUAUACAAAACGUUGCAAAGUUCUUCUCAUUCAUCAUAUUCCCUGCAAUCAUCACUUUUUCAUAUUAUAUCAAUGUUGCAAAAUUCUUCUCAUCAAUAACAUUCUCAGUAAUCAAAUUAUUAACAAUUACAUUUUCAAUAAAAUAUAUAAAAAAAAAACACGGUUUAUACUAUCAAGAACAAACUAAUUAACAUGAAAAUAGGGGAAAUUGACACGAAGUCAAUUCCAUCGGACCCUUAGGACUUGUGAUUGCAAUUUUUUGUAAAUUCAGCCUAAAAGUAUAGGAAGACUUGACUUUUUGGUAAUCAUGUCGACUUCAUAAUGGUUAUUGAGAAGAAAAAAUCUCCCUGACGUACGUUUUUUUUAAGUCUAGAGAUGCAUGUUUACUUAAUUACUUGCACGUUGAGUGGUCUUGGUUUAAGUCAUAGUCUUACGGUCUAGUAGUGUACAAUGAAAUUAAUUUUAGAGGUUACUUUAUGAUAAAACCUAAGUGUAAAGUUCCCUGAUUUUUUUGUGUAACAAAGAAUUUUAGCAUCUUCGGUUUACUGAAACAGUUGGGAGCUCUACAUUAAGCUAGGGCGGACAAGAAUAUUCUGUUUCAUGGUUUUUUAAACUUUAAGUUACUUAACUGCAACUUAUUUCAGUUCCUAUUUCUCAAUAAUCUUAACUUCACAGCCAUCAUGUUAGUUAAAGAUAUUUCCAUCUCCAGGAAGAAGUUGAGGCCUAUAGAAUAGUUGUCGUCUCUGUCACGAUUGAUGAAGAAUUUCAAGGUCAAUGGACCCAAAGUCUUGCCUUGAAGCCUGAAGGUCAAUGCUGUUUAGAAUGUUCAAUCAAAUGGCAUCUAUUCUUAUCUUCAAAGCAAAAAGCUUUCAGACUAUACAUCCAUGGACAUGGAUAUCCUUUCUUUCAGUGCUUGUUUCCUCAUCAUCUUCACCAAAGCUUCCAGCGCACCCGACAGGAUUUCUCCGUCUGAGUCACUCACUGAUGGCACGACCUUGGUCUCUAGUGAUGGAAGCUUUGUAUUGGGUUUCUUCACUCCGGGGAGUUCUAAGAAUCGUUACUUGGGAAUUUGGUACAAUAACAUCCCCAUGCAAACUGUUGUAUGGGUUGCAAACAGGAUAAAUCCGAUAAAUGACACCACUGGCUUGCUGCAGAUAGAAAGCACUGGCAGAGUCGUGCUUCUAGGUCAGAACCAAACAACUGUUUGGUCAAUUAAUUCCACAGAAGCAGCUCAGAAUCCGAUUCUGCAGCUCCUGGAUUCAGGCAAUCUUGUUGUCAGAAAUGGAAAAGAUGGUGAUUCAGAGAACUACUUGUGGCAAAGCUUUGAUUAUCCAACUGAUACAAUGUUACCGGCGAUGAAGAUUGGUUGGGACCUGAGAACUAAUUUAAAUCGAAGACUAGCAGCAUGGAAGAACUCAGAUGAUCCAUCUCCUGGGGACCUUACUUAUGGGGUGGAACUCCAAGGCAAUCCAGAGGUGGUGCUGCGGAAAGGCUCAGAAAAGUACCAUCGCAGUGGCCUCUGGAAUGGCGAUGGAUUUAGUGGUGCACAAAAUUUAAGAUCAAAUCCGGUCUAUGAGUACGACUUUGUCUGGAAUGAGGAGGAGGUGUACUACAUAAAUUACCUCAAAAAUAAAUCGGUGAUGUCAAGGUUAGUUUUGAACCAAACUGAAAAGGUUAGACAGCGGUACACAUGGAACCCAGAAACUCAAACUUGGAUGUUGAUUUCCAUCAUGCCAAGUGACUGUUGUGACAUACUUGGACUUUGUGGUGCAAAUGGGAACUGCGAUAAUUCCACGCUUCCAGCUUGCCAAUGUUUGAAAGCAUUCAGGCCUAAAUCGCUGGAAAGAUGGAACUCCUUAGACUGGUCUGAAGGGUGUAUACACAAUAAGCCAUUAAACUGCCAAAGCGGAGAUGGAUUUAUUAGAAUUGAGAGGGUGAAAACGCCAGAUACCUCACAUUCUUGGGUGAGCAAAAGUAUGAAUCUCGAGGAAUGCAGGGCUAAGUGCUUGCAGAACUGUUCUUGUAUGGCAUACACUAAUUUAGAUAUUAGAGGAGGAGGUAGCGGCUGCGCCAUGUGGUUUGGUGAUCUAAUUGAUAUUAAACAAUUUCAAUCAUUUGGCCAGGAUCUUUACAUCAGAGUCUCUGCUUCAGAAGCAGGUAUCAGUUUAAAAUCGGAACAUUUUCUUGUUACAGCUUGUGAUAAUUUCUUUUGGAAAUUGUUUAAUUAUACUUGGGCUCCUUCAUCAAUAAUGAUCAUGCAGAACUGAAAAACAAGGCUAAGGCGAAGCUGGCCGUGAUAAUUGCAACACCAAUUGCUAUGUUCUUGGGGCUUCUUGUAGUCAUUUAUUACAUCCGGAGAAGGAGAAGAAAAUUAGAAGGUAAUAUCAACUAUGGUCCUCAUUAAAGCAGGGGAAAGUUGGUAUUUGAUACAAAUACCAAAAUCGUUUCUGCUCACAGCACCGCUAUCAGAUCCCUGCCCUGUUUUCAAGAAAACAGUAAUACUAAAAUUUGUCAUUUCUCUUAUCAAAUUUGAUAAUACAUGGUUUUCAAUUUUGUUUUAUGAUCUGACAAAAAAGUGAGUCCAUGAACAAUUGGUUCGAUAUUUUUGGUUUUGGUGUUCAGAAGAAGCAUACAGCUUUUGUCUAUCUAAAUCUAUCAAUAUGCAUGAGAAAGCGUAUCUCUGUGUUGAAUGCUAGCCUAUUUUGACUACUGUUUCAGAUGAAGUUAAAGAAAGGAUUUUAAAUGAUCAAAAGAACCAAGGCCAGAGUGAAGAUAUGGAGCUUGCUGUAUUCGAGCUAGCUACGAUAGCCAGAGCUACUGGUAGUUUUUCUUUUAAUAACAAGCUAGGUGAAGGAGGUUUUGGACCUGUUUAUAAGGUAAAAGUAAGCACAUAUUACUAAAGUGAUCUCAAGCACGGAGAAUUCAUCUUUAUUGAAAGCUCAUCAAAAUAUUCCUAGUCUCCAGGGGACACUUGCAAAUGGACAAGAAAUUGCUGUGAAAAGACUUUCAAAGAGUUCCGGACAAGGAUUGAACGAGUUUAAAACUGAAGUAAAGUUGAUUGCCAAACUUCAGCAUCGGAAUCUUGUAAGGCUUCUUGGGUGCUGCAUUCAUGGAGAGGAGAAAAUGCUGGUUUAUGAAUACAUGCCUAACAGAAGUCUUGACUCAUUUAUUUUUGGUCAGAAACCUUUCAAUUUUAUAUUGUCUGCUCUCGGCUUGUGAAAUAGUUUUCUUUUGCUGCUUCAAAGGAUCAAAUAGAUAUAGAAUUAACAUGAAGGCAGUACUUGACAGAUCAAAGAAGGUGCAAAGUAUUAGAUUGGCCCAAGCGUUUCCAAAUUAUCUGUGGGAUUGCUAGGGGACUACUCUACCUUCAUCAAGAUUCCAGAUUGAGGAUUAUUCAUAGAGAUCUAAAAGCUAGUAAUGUUUUGCUUGAUAGUGAGAUGAACCCAAAAAUUUCAGAUUUUGGCAUGGCAAGACUUUUGGAGGAGACCAGACUGAAGCCAAUACCAACAGAGUGGUUGGAACUUAGUAAGUCUACUUUUUCUGCAAAUUUGAUCUAUAAAUGCCCAUGAAACUCUUAUCUGACAAUGUUUUGCAGUGGUUAUAUGGCACCAGAAUAUGCUAUCGAUGGGCUGUUUUCGGUAAAAUCAGAUGUGUUUAGCUUUGGCAUAUUGUUGUUGGAGAUAAUAAGUGGAAGAAAGAAUAGAGGAUUAUAUCAUCAAAAUCAAAAUGGCAACCUUAUUGAACAUGUAAGCCUGAUUGUCAUUAUCUUUUAUUACAUAUUUUGAACCGAUGAAUGAUAAAAGAAUUUCAUUUUGCUGCAGGCAUGGAGAUUAUGGAAAGAAGGCAGGCCUUUGGAUCUUGUUGAUGAGUUCUUAGCAGAGACCGGCAGUCUAUCACAGGUGUUACGAUGCAUCCACAUUAGCCUUUUUUGUGUACAACAACAUCCUAAGGAGAGGCCAAGCAUGUCAUCCGUGGUUCUGAUGUUGGGAAGUGAAAAUGAAUUGCCUCUGCCCAAACAACCUGGUUUUUGGUUUCACAAGAGUCCCUUUGAAGCAGAUUCUACAUCAGGCAACUACAAAUCAUCUUCUAGAAACGAAAUAAGUCUAUCAAUGUUAGAGGCUCGAUAGAGGGUGGUAUGCUUCAUUAAACCUAUUAUGCUCCAAACCAUCAGCAAUGACUCCAAUCCCACUUGAUGUUUGGGGCAUGUGCUUUUAGAGCCACUGCUAGUGAGAAAUGUUUCAGAAAUCAAACAUGCAAUUAAGCAUAAAUAGUAGUGUUUUGUUUAUUUCAUGG
rnacentral:lncRNA from 1 species